rnacentral:lncRNA from 1 species
CGGGCCACCGGGUCCGGGUCACCACCGGGGCUGGGUUAGUCGGUACCUUCAUGAAGGUCUCUACCGCGCCUUUGGCCGUGUCCAGGUCAUAAUAGUGAUACUGAGAACAACAACAACAAAAUUAACAAGCAUAAAAUUGGAUAUGAAAUUAAACAAGGUUGCAAUUGCUGCAAGGCUUUUUUUGCCAGGCUUUCCUGUAUGACUCGGAACUGUUUACAAUCACCUCCUCCCUCUCCAGGAGCUAUGGAGCAAAUGAAUGGAGCUAGAAAAUACGUCAUCCUGAGCAAGGCAACCCAGACCAAAAGACAAGUAUGGUCUGGGGCUCACACGUGUUAGCUGAGCACCUGCCACUGAGCCCUCAGCCUCAGAUACUGUUAACUAAGGCACAACAGAGGUAAAGGUGAAGUGUUUUCCUAAGGCUCUAAGGUGUCCCAGGCUCCAGUGAAAGUUUUGAGGGAGGGAAAGUGGUCUCUCUACUUCAUGAAGUCAGAGCAGAUCACACCUACAACGAGGAGAACACAAUUUGGAUGAAGAGGAAACAAGAACAAAAGCUGUCACAGAGAGUUAAAGGGAGUGACUGCAAAGUGUGGAGCCGGUGACUUGGCCACACUUUGAUGAAGUGGCUGCGGGUCUUCUCUUCAUUGUUUACACAAGCCAUUAGAGCAUCUUCUCACGGAAACCAUUUGACUCUGCAGUGUUGCUGCUUUGAGCUGACAGAGGAUGGAAAGUGGUCCCUGCAAUGAGAACAGGGUCUGCUGCGGAGACACAGAAAGUUCUUAAAGUAUUUGGUCACCUUAGGAUGUGACAUUAUCUAUUAUUGCUUUGAAAAGACUACAGUAGCUGUUCUGUGGGUGGCUUGGAGAGAACAAGGCUGGACCAGUGAGAAACUCA